rnacentral:rRNA from 1 species
UACGUAGGGUGCGAGCGUUGUCCGGAAUUAUUGGGGCGUAAAGAGCUCGUAGGCGGCUUGUCGCGUCGGAUGUGAAAGCCCGGGGCUUAACUCCGGGUCUGCAUUCGAUACGGGCAGGCUAGAGUUCGGUAGGGGAGAUCGGAAUUCCUGGUGUAGCGGUGAAAUGCGCAGAUAUCAGGAGGAACACCGGUGGCGAAGGCGGAUCUCUGGGCCGAUACUGACGCUGAGGAGCGAAAGCGUGGGGAGCGAACAGG